rnacentral:rRNA from 1 species
CCUACGGGGGGCAGCAGUGAGGAAUAUUGGUCAAUGGACGCGAGUCUGAACCAGCCAAGCAGCGUGCAGGAAGACGGCUCUAUGAGUUGUAAACUGCUUUUGUACGGGAGUAAACGCAGACACGCGUACCUUUCUGAAAGUAUCUUACGAAUAAGGAUCGGCUAACUCCGUGCCAGCAGCCGCGGUAAUACGGAGGAUUCGAGCGUUAUCCGGAUUUAUUGGGUUUAAAGGGUGCGUAGGCGGUCGGAUAAGUUAGGUGUGAAAGCCCGAGGCUCAACUUCGGAAUUGCCUCUGAUACUGGUCGGCUAGAGAGUAGUUGCGGUAGGCGGAAUGUAUGGUGUAGCGGUGAAAUGCUUAGAGAUCACACAGAACACCGAUUGCGAAGGCAGCCUACCAAGCUACCUCUGACGUUGAGGCACGAAAGCGUGGGGAGCAAACAGGAUUAGAUACCCCAGUAGUC